rfam:Ovis aries breed Texel chromosome 1, whole genome shotgun sequence.
UCCUGGUGGCUCAGACAGUAAAGAAUCUGCCUGCAAUGCAGGAGACCCAGGUUCGAUCCCUGGGUCAGGAA